AGAGGUGUAAUGGAAUAGAGGUGU
rnacentral:siRNA from 1 species